AGCUGAAUCUGUUGAGACUUGACGGUUGCUAAUUGCUGUACUGUAGGAUCCACAGACAUUUGAUGAGAGGAAUACCUUGAAGAUUAAUGGAAAGAUGAAGGGACCAGCCUCGUACCAACAGAAAAGCCUAGGACUCUAACCUAGCUUGUUACAGAGAAACCCAGGACUCUAACCUGGCCUUGGCUUGUCUAGGGCUCUAACCCAGCUUCUAGAGUAGACUCUGAGUCCUAAGAAUCAAGAUCUGUCCUCAUUCCGCGUCAAUGGACAUUUAUCCAGAGCACUGGGUUUUGGAGUCGGCCUCACCACUGGAUCCCCAAACCAGCAAGCAGACCGGAGACAAAAAGUAUAGGUGCGGUGUGUGCGACCCUCUGGCCAGCAGGCCCGGCAGGCCAGGUGACCCCACCCUGUACUGAGGCAUCGUUAAGGCUUCUCCCGGCCACCUUAGACGUCGUAACAGAGACUCCCGAGAACACCGCCAAACUGUGAAGCAGGCCGGGGAAGGUGGGGGCAGAGGAAAGUCAUCUUUGCACCUAGUUGAA